GACGAACGCUGACGGUGUGCUUUAGACAUGCAAGUCGAACGAGAAAGCCCUUCGGGGUUAGUAAAGUGGCGAACGGGUGAGUAACACGUGGGCAAUCUGCCCCUCGCAGGGGGACAACCGGAGGAAACCCCGGCUAAUACCCCGUAAGUUCAAAGGGAGGCAUCUCUCUUCGAAGAAAGGUAGCUUCGGCCAUCCGGCGAGGGAUGAGCCCGCGGUGCAUUAGCUAGUUGGUGGGGUAACGGCCUACCAAGGCGACGAUGCAUAGCUGGUCUGAGAGGAUGAUCAGCCACACUGGGACUGAGACACGGCCCAGACUCCUACGGGAGGCAGCAGUCGGGAAUCUUGCGCAAUGGGCGAAAGCCUGACGCAGCAACACCGUGUGUGUGAGGAA
rnacentral:rRNA from 1 species